rnacentral:lncRNA from 1 species
GGGCCUUCUCGGUUCAAUGGUUCACUGUCAGGAACAGUUUGUAUUUUAAGGUUUCCCUUCAUUAUGGCUUAUUGAUGUGAAUGAAAAUUGAGCUGGAAAUCCAACAUGGUUGGCAGGAGGUGUUUGAAACUUCACACAGUCAGUUCUCAGUGUUCACUCUCAGUUUCUUUCUUUUGAAGGUAGGCCAAAAUGAAGCAUGCAAAAGAAACUGUAUCCAAGAGCCCUUAAGGAGAAAACAGUGAAACAUGUAUGUACUGAAAUAAGUCUCCCAAAAAUUUGAUCAGAUAUCUUUGAUACUACAUGGUAUUCAUCUUUUAGCUUGUUGCACUAGGCUCCCCAAGGUUGGCACUUCUAGGAUCAAUGGUUCUCUAAACAGAUAAUGGUUAGUGUUACAGUUACCGUUAGGGCUAGCUUUAGAGCUAGUGUUAGGGUUAGAGUUUGUUUUGUUCAAAUUUCUUUGAUACUGGGAAGAUUUAUCUUUACCUAUCCUACUAUGUCCCCCAGUUUUGGGCCUUCUUGGUUUAAUGGUUCACUGUUUGGAAUAGUUUGUUUUUAAUGUCUCACUUCAUUUUGACCUAUAUGGGUAAAUGCAAAUGAAGCUGGAAAUCAGAGGUUUGGUGCUAGCUGGUUGAAACUUUACAUUCUCAAUCAGUUGUCUGUGGGCACUCUCUGGUUUCUUCCUUGUAAAAUAGCCAUAAGCUGAAGCAUGUAUAAAAACUUUAUCCAAGAGUACUUUAGGAGAAAACAGGGCAAUAUGCAUGUACUGAAAUACCUCCCCCAAUUAUUUGGUUAGAUUUCUUUGAUACUGUGCAGGACUCAUCUGUAAGCUUCCCUACUAGUCUCCCCAAGUUUUAAAAUUUUUUGAUCAAAGCUUCUCUUUACAGGUUAGGCUUAGGGUUAUGGUUAGAGUUAGGGCAAGUGUUAGCACUAGUUUUAGGGUUAGAGUAAGUUUUUUUUCAAUUUAUUGGAUACUGGAUAGCAUUUACAUUUUUCCUAUUCUUAGUAUGCUCCGCAUGUGUGGGACUCCUAGGUAAAAGGGUUUGAUCUCAGAAGCAGUUUUAAUUUUCAUGUUUCACUUCAUUUUGCCCUAUAGGGGUGAAUGGAAAUGGAGCUGGAUUCAAACAGGGUUUGUGCUAGCUGCUUGAAACUUCACACACUCAAUCAGAUCUCAGUGCACAUUCUCUCAUUUGUUUCCUGUGAUAGUAGCCCAAAGCUGAAUUAGAAAGAAUCAGCUUUAUCUGUGAGCACUUUAGGAGCAAGCUUCAAUUUUUUUGCAUCUAUUACACUGAUAUUGAACAGUAUUCAUCCAUUUUCUAGUCUUAGUAGGAUCCUCAUGUCUGGGUUUUCAAGGCUUGCCAGUUCACUGUCAGGAAGAGUUUAAAUUUUUAGGUUUCACUUUAUUGUGUCCGACAGACAUGAAAGAAAAUGGAGCUGGAAACCAAACAGAGUUAGUACUAGUUGCUUGAAACUACACACACUGAAUCUGCUCUCUGUGGGCAGUCUCUGGUUGUUUCUUGUGAAAGUGCCUUAAACUGAAGCAUGAAAAAUAAUUUAUCCAAUAGCACAUUAGGAGAAAACAGGGAAAUAUACACUUAAUGAUAUACCUGCCCCAAUUAUUUGGUCAGAUUUCUUUGAUACUGCACAGGAUUCAUCUGUUAGCUUGCCCCACUGGGCUCCAUUAUUCGGGGACUACUCUGAUCAAUGGUUUCCUAAACAGGUUAGGUUAGACUUAGUAUUAGAUUAGGGCUAGGGUUAUAGAUAGUGUUUGUUAGAUUUUGUUUUGUUCAAAUUUCUUUGAUACUGGGCAGGAUUCACCUUUUACCUAGGAUUACUAUGUUAUCUAGGUUUGGGCCUCUUGGGUCAAGGGUUUGCUCUCCAGAACAGUUUGUAUUUUAAGUUUUCAUUUCAUUUUGACCUAUGCAUGUAAAUGGAAAUGGAGCUGUAAAUCCAACAUUGUUGGUGCUAGCUAAUUCAAACCUCACACACUCAAUCAGUUUUCUAUGGGCAUUCUCUGGUCUAUUUCUUGUAAAAGUGGCCCUAAGCUGAAGCAUGCUAAGCCACUUUAUGUGAGAGCACUGUAGGAUAAAGCAGGACAAUAUGCAUGUACUGAAAUACCUCCCCAAUUAUUUGGUCAGAUUUCUUUGAUAGUGUGAAAGAUUCAUCUGUUAGCCUACCCAAAUUGGAUCCCCAAUGUGGGACAUCUAGGAUCAAAGGGACUCUAAACAGGUUAAGGUUAAUUUUGUUUUCAAACUUCUAUGAUACUGUGCAGGUUUCAUCUUUUUUCCUAUUUUGAAUGUACUCCUAAUAUUUGGGCCUCCUACAUACAGGGUUUGCCUUCAGGAACAGUUUCAAAUUCAUUUUUCUCUUCUUUUUGCCCUAUAGGGGUGAAUGGAAAUGAAGCUCUUAAUUGAACAGGGUUUGGGCUAGCUGCUUGAAACUUCACAUACUCCAUCAAUUUUCAGUGAUCUUAAUCUGGUGUUUACCAUGGAAGUGGCCCUAAGAUGAAGUAGAAAUUAACAGUUUUAUCUCUGAGUGCUUUAGGAACAAGCACAAUACCCAUGUACUGAAAUAGCUUCACAUUUUUGUUGGUUGGAUUAAUUUGAUACUGUACAGGAUUCAUCCUUGACCUAGCCUUAGUAGGCUCCACCAGUUUGGGCCUCCAAGUUUCAAUGGUUCAGUGUCAGAAACAGUUUGAAUUUUUAGGAUUCACUUCAUUAUGGCCUAUAGUUGUGAAUGCAAUGGAGCUAGAAAUAAAACAUUGUUGGUGCUAGCUGCAUGAAACUUUGAACACCCAGUUAGUUCUCUGUUGGCACUGUUUGGUUUUUCUUUGUGAAAGUAUCUUAAGCUGAAGCAAGAAAAACAAUUUAUCCAUGAGCACUUUAAGAAAAAAACCGGAAAAUAUGAAUGUACUUCAUAUGAACACCUACCCCUAACCCUAACCCUAAAAGUAGCCCUAAUCACAACUCUAGUUCUUAUGUUAGUUGUACCCUUAAUCCUAGCCCUAACCUAGGGUUAGUGUUAGGGCUAGGCCUAACAUGGGGCUAGGCCUAACCCAAAACCUAGCACUAAUCUGAGCCCUACACGUGUUUUAAUCCUAACACUAACCAGAGCCCUAACCAUUAACCUAAACCAAACCCUAACUUUGAAACUUGCCCUAACCCUAAACCUAACCCUAUCCUUAAUCCUAACCAUAAUCCUAGACCUAACCCUAGCUCUAACUCUAUCCAUUACCCUAACCAUAACCCUAACCUUGGUGCUAAUUUUAGGAUAACCCUAAUUCUAUCUCUAACCCUAACUUUGUCCAUUAUCCUAAACCUAACCUGAAACAUAAACCUAAACAUAAACAUUACCCUUACAUUAAUACUAAACCUAAUGCUAAAGAAAGCCCUGAUCCUAAACUUAACCUAACUCAAACAUUAAUCAUGAUAGUAACCCUAAUAAUAACCCUAUCUCUAAACCUGACCCUAACCCUCAACCUUAACCUUACACUAGAACUAGCCAUAAACCUAACCCUAAAACUAACCAUAAACAUAAAGCUAGACCUGACAUUAGCCCUAGCACUAAUUCUAACACUAACCCUAACACAAAACCGAACCCUAAUCCUAGCCCUAAACCUACCCCUAAUCCUCUCCCGAAACCUAGCCUUCCUACCAACCCUAAACAUAACCCUCGCCAUAACCCUAUUUUGUACCUUGCCCUAAACCUAGCUCUAAUAUAAUACCUUACAUUAAUCCUAACCCUAACCCUAGACCUAAACGUAGGCCUAGCCCUAACACUAACCCUAGCGCUGAUCUUAGCACAAAUUUAGUCCUAAACCUAACCCUAACUGUAACCCUAACCCUAACUCUCACCCUAGCACUAACCCUAGUUCUAAAUCUAUCCCUUACCAUAACACAAACCUUAGACCUAAACCUAGCCCCAAACCCAUUCCUACUUUUGGCCUAGCCCUAUACCUAGAACUAACCCUAACCUCAAUCAAAUGCUAACCCUAAGUCUAAACCUCACCCUAACACUAGCCCUAACCCUAAUGCUAAUUGGAAAACUAGACUAACCCUAGUCCCAGCACUCAAACAAAACCGAGUCAUAGGCUUAACGCUAAUUCUUAACCUAAACUAAAACUUAAGCUUAUACCUAGCCCUAACCCUGGCCCUAAUUUGAGUCCUAACCCUAACUUUAGAAUUUACUCUUACCGUGACUCAGACCCUAACAAUAAACCCAGGCUCAUCACAAUAACAGUAAACUUAACCAGAACACUAAACCUAGCCCUACACCUAACCCUAAAACUAGCCCUAAUCGUACCACCAGUUCUUCCAUUAGCCAUAGCCCUGUGCUAAAAGAAAAGCUAGCUCUAAUCUGAGACCAAAUCCUAGCUUUAAACCUAACCCUAAAAAAAACCUAGAAUUAUACCUAACCCUAGCUCUAACCCUAUCCCUUACCCUAAGACAAACCUUCACCCUAAUGCUACCCUAGUCCUAUCAUUAAUCUUUAGCCUACCCCAAACCAUAACACUAUUACUAGUUCUAACCCUAGCCCACAUUCUAGCUCUAACCCUAACCCAAAUCCUAACCCUAACCCUGACCCUUAAUCUGACCCUAACUCUAAGCCCAGGAUUAAACCUGACCCUAACCCUAAUCUGAACCCUAACACUAGCUCUAUGGGAAACCCUAUACCUAAACCUAACCCUAACACUCGACCUAGACAAAAACCUAAUCCUAAAUCUAGCCAUAACUCUAGCUCUAGACCUAAACAAAAACCUAGCCUUAGCCCUCACAAUAACCCUUAACAUAACCAAACACUACCUCUACAUCUAGACAUAAACUUAGUCCUAAUUCUGGCCAUAACCCUAACCCAAACACUGUCCCUUUCUGUAACAAUAAUCCUAGAUCUAAACUUUAUGUUAACCACAAAUCUAGCCAUAACACUAAAAAUAGACCUAGCUAUAACCCUAACUCUAGGUCUUACAUUAAUAUAACCCUAAUAUUUGCCCCAAACCUCACACAAAACCUAUCUCCAAGCAUAAUCGUAACCCUAACCCUAGACCUGACCUAACCCUAGCCCUUGCCUUAACCCUAACCUUAGCUCAAACACUAACCCUUGCCCAAAUAUAAAUCUAGACCUAACCCUAAACCUAACCCUAACCCUAGUCCUAAUCCUUACUAUAACCAAGGCGAAACCCUAGUUCUAACUCUAUCCAUUAUCCUAAACACAACCCUAACCCUAAUGCUAAACCUAGGUCUAACUUAACCCUAAACACAAUCCUAACCCUUUUGAUAAACCUAGCUCUAACUUAACCCUGGAUGUCACACUAACCCUAACCAUUGCCCUAGCCCUAUCCAUAGCUCAAACCCUAACACUUACCCUAAAUCUAACCCUAACACUAACCCUAGGCUUAACCCUAACCAUAACCCUAGCCCUAAUCCUAACCAUAACCCAAAC